rnacentral:rRNA from 1 species
GACGAACGCUGGCGGCGUGCUUAACACAUGCAAGUGGAGCGACGAACCAGGGCUUGCCCUGGGGCAGAGCCGCGAACGGGUGAGUAACACGUGGGUAACGUGCCCCGAUGAUCGGGACAACCCGGGGAAACCCGGGCUAAUACCGAAUGUGCUCCCCUCACACCAGUGAGGGAUGGAAAGGAAGCUUCGGCCUCCGCAUCGGGAUCGGCCCGCGGCCCAUUAGCUUGUUGGUGAGGUAACGGCUCACCAAGGCUGCGAUGGGUAGCUGGUCUGAGAGGACGAUCAGCCACACUGGGACUGAGACACGGCCCAGACUCCUACGGGAGGCAGCAGUGGGGAAUCUUGNGCAAUGCGCGAAAGCGUGACGCAGCAACGCCGCGUGGGGGAAGACGGCCU